rnacentral:rRNA from 1 species
CCGGGACUUCCUCCACCGGUACMUCMUCUCCCCSACSUGUUAGGUCSAGUUGCUUUUUCCCSGUCSACAGGAGUUUACMAUCCAAAGACCUUCAUCCUCCACGCGGCGUUGCUGCGUCGGGCGUUAGCCCAUUGCGCAAAAUUCCCCMCUGCUGCCUCCCGUAGGAGUCUGGACCGUGUCUCAGUUCCAGUGUGGCCGAUCACCCUCUCAGGCCGGCUACCGAUCGUCGCCUUGGUAGGCCAUUACCCUACCAACUAGCUAAUCGGACGCGGACCCCUCCUGUGGCGAGAGCCCUUGCGAGCCCCCUUUGACCUCUCGGUAUCAUGCGGUAUCAGCCAGAGUUUCCCCUGGUUGUUCCCACCUCAGGGCAGGUUAUCCACGCGUUACUCACCCGUUCGCCGCUCGACUCGGGGUUGCCCCUGGCCUCCUCACUUGMUGUGUAAGACSCCCCGCGUUCUUCUGAGCCUGAUCAACUCUAUCAAUUCCGCGCCGCAUGCGGCGGAGMUGCACKCGGCCAUCSCCAA